CCUACGGGGCGCAGCAGUGGGGAAUAUUGGACAAUGGGCGAAAGCCUGAUCCAGCCAUGCCGCGUGUGUGAAGAAGGCCUUCGGGUUGUAAAGCACUUUCAGUGGGGAAGAAAGCCUUGGGGCUAAUACCCUCGAGGAAGGACAUCACCCACAGAAGAAGCACCGGCUAACUCCGUGCCAGCAGCCGCGGUAAUACGGAGGGUGCGAGCGUUAAUCGGAAUUACUGGGCGUAAAGCGCGCGUAGGCGGUCUGAUAAGCCGGUUGUGAAAGCCCCGGGCUCAACCUGGGAACGGCAUCCGGAACUGUCAGGCUAGAGUGCAGGAGAGGAAGGUAGAAUUCCCGGUGUAACGGUGAAAUGCGUAGAGAUCGGGAGGAAUACCAGUGGCGAAGGCGGCCUUCUGGACUGACACUGACGCUGAGGUGCGAAAGCGUGGGUAGCAAACAGGAUUAGAUACCCGUGUAGUC
rnacentral:rRNA from 1 species